CCGUUGGGAGACAUUCAUACCCAGCUCCCAACUAGUGAUUUUGUAAUGGAAUAAUCGUGAGUCUGCUCCUUGGUGGAGACUUUCACAUUAUAAUGGAACAGAAGUAACUGUUGGACAAGGGGAAGGUCAUUUCCUGCCAACCUGGCUUGCACAGGACCAUCCCAUCUAUCAGCUAUGCUGCUAUAUGUUUGAAACUGCUGCAUGUUUGAACUUCUCAGUCGAGAACACAGAAUGA